UAGCUCAGUCGGUUAGAGCUUGGUGCUGAUAACACCAAGAUCGCAGGUUCGAUCCCCCUUC
rnacentral:tRNA from 1 species